rnacentral:lncRNA from 1 species
ACAAAAAGAUUUAAGAAAAAAAUAAAAAAUGAAAAUGCAAAAUAUAUAAAAUAAAAUUUGAGAAAAAGAAGAAAAAAAUAAAAAAUGAAGAGGCAAAAAUAUGAAAAAAAAAUAAAAAGAAAAAAAUUUAUAGAAAAUUUUAAAACAAAGAAAAAGUGAACAAAAAAAAAUGAAAGCACAUAAAAAAAAGUAAAAAAAAGAAGAAAAAUUGAAAGGAGAAAAAGUUAAUGAAAAAUUAUAAAAAUGCAAUAGAAAAUAACCAAGAAUGAUAAAAGAAAAAAAGAUAGAAAAAUAAAAAAUUCUAAAACUUUAUAAAAAUUUAUGAAAUUAUAAAUAAAGAAAGAAAAUAAAAUACGAAAAAAAAUUAAAGCAAAAGAAAAAAGAUAAAUAAAGCACAAAAAAAACAAAAAUACAACAAAAAAUAUAAAAAGUAAGAAAAUGAAAAAGGACAAAAAUUGAAUAAAAAUUUCAAAAAUGAAAUGGAAUGACAAAAUGAAAAAAAUUAGUUUAAAAAAUACAAAAAAUUGAAAAACAUAUAAGUUCUAACAAUAUAAAAAGUUUGAGAAUUUAAAAACACAAAUAAGAAAUGAAAGGAAAUUUAUGGAAAAAAAAAAAGAAUUGGAAUAAAAAUAGAAAAAUAAAAUUUUUAAAAACGACGAAAAAUUAAAAUAAGAAAAAAAUUAAAGCAAAAGAAAAAAGAUAAAUAAAGCAUGAAAAAAAAAAAACAAAAAUACAACAAAAAAUUAUAAAAGGUAAGAAAAUGAAAGAGGACAAAAAAUGAAUAAAAUUUCAAAAAUGAAAUGGAAUGACAAAAUGAAAAUAAAAUUAGUUUAAAAAAUAAAAAAAAAUUGAAAAACAUAUAAGACCUAACAAUAUAAAAAGUCAGACAAAAAUUAAAAAAGAGAAAAGUUAAUGCAAAAUAAAAAAAAGUAUGAGAAUUUAAAAGCGCAAAUAAGAAAUGAAAGGAAAUUUGAGGAAAAAAAGAGACAAAAGAUUUGGAAUAAAAAAUAGAAAAAUAGAAAUUUUUAAAACAACAUAAAAAAUUAAAACAAGUAAAAAUGAAAGCUUAUGAAAAAAAAAAAGCAAAAAGAAGGCAAAUUAUGAAGGGAAAAAGUUAUUAAAAAUUACAAAGUAGAAAAAAAGAAAAUAAAAAUAAAUUAAGAGAAAAAAUUAAAUAAAAUACCAAAAAGGAAAAAAUAAAAAUAAACAAAGUAAGAAAAUAAAAAAUUAGCGAAUCAAAAAAUAUAAAAAGACAAAAUGAAUAAAAAUUUCAAAUAUAAAAUGAAAAAAACUAUUGGUUCAGAAUGUACAAAGAAAAAUAAAAAAAAUAUAACAAACAGAGGAAAAAGAUAUAAAAUAUGAAAGAUGAAAAAUAAAAUAAAAGAAAGUGCACAAAAAAAGAAGUUUGAGGUUUUAAAACUAUAAAGAAGAAAUAAAAAAAGGUGUGAACAAAAAGAUUUAAGAAAAAAAAAUGAAAAUACAAAAUAUAUAAAAUAAAAUUUGAGAAAAAGAAGAAAAAAAUAAAAAAUGAAGAGGCAAAAAUAUGAAAUAAAAGAAAAAGAAAAAAUUUAUAGAAAAUUUUAAAACAAAGAAAAAAGUGAACAAAAAAGAAUGAUGGCAUAUAAAAAAAAAGUAAAAAAAAGAAGAAAAAUUUGGAAGGAGAAAAAGUUAAUGAAAAAAAUAUAAAAAUGCAAUAGAAAAUAACCAAGAAUGAUAAAAGAAAAAAAGAUAAAAAAAUUAAAAAUUCCAAAACUUUAUAAAAAUUUAUGAAAUUAUGAAUAAAGAAAGAAAAUAAAAUAAGAAAAAAAAUUAAAGCAAAAGAAAAAAGAUAGAUAAAGCACGAAAAAAGAAAAAAAAAACAAAAAAUUAUAAAAAGUAAGAAAAUGAAAAAGGACAAAAAUUGAAUAAAAAUUUCAAAAAUGAAAUGGAAUGACAAAAUGAAAAAAAAAUUAGUUUAAAAAAUACAAAAAAUUAAAAAACAUAUAAGACCAAACAAUCUAAAAAGUCUGACAAAAAAUUAAAAAAGAGAAAAGUUAAUGCAAAAUAAAAAAAAAAAGUAUGAGAAUUUAAAAACGCAAAUAAGAAAUGAAAGGAAAUUUGUGGAAAAAAAAGAAAAGACAAAAGAUUUGGAAUAAAAAGAGAAAAUAAAAUUUAAAACAGGAAAAUUAAAAGUAAAACAUGAAAACAUAUAAAAAAAAAGCAAAAAGAAGGAAAAUUGCAAAGGGAAAAAGUUAUUAAGAAAUUACAAAGUAGAAAAAAAUAAAUUAAGAGAAAAAAUUAAAUAAAAUACCAAAAAAGGAAAAAAUAAAAAAUUAGCGAAUCAAAAAAAUAUAAAAAGACAAAAUGAAUAAUCAAAUAUAAAAUGGAAAAAACUUUUAGUUUAUAAUUUACAAAGAAAAAGAAAAAAAAAAUAACAAAUAGAGGAAAAAGAUAUAAAAUAUGAAAGAUGAAAAAUAAAAUAAAAGAAAGUGCACAAAAAAAUAAGUUUGAGGUUUUAAAGUUAUAAAGAAGAAAAAAAAAGGUGUGAACAAAAAGAUUUAAGAAAAAAAUAAAAAAUGAAAAUACAAAAUAUAUAAAAUAAAAAUUGAAGAAAAAGAAGAGGCAAAAAUAUGAAAUAAAACAAAAAGAAAAAAAUUUAUAGAAAAAACUGAACGAAAAAGAAUGAAAGCACAUAAAAAAAAGUAAAAAAAAGAAGAAAAAUUAUAAAAAUGCAAUAGAAAAAUAAAAAAUUCCAAAACUUUAUAAAAAUUUAUGAAAUUAUGAAUAAAGAAAGAAAAUAAAAUAAGAAAAAAAAUUAAAGCAAAAGAAAAAAGAUAGAUAAAGCACGAAAAAAGAAAAAAAACAAAAAUACAACAAAAAAUUAUAAAAAGUAAGAAAAUGAAAAAGGACAAAAAUUGAAUAAAAAUUUCAAAAAUGAAAUGGAAUGACAAAAUGAAAAAAAAAUUAGUUUAAAAAAUACAAAAAAUUAAAAAACAUAUAAGACCAAACAAUCUAAAAAGUCUGACAAAAAAUUAAAAAAGAGAAAAGUUAAUGCAAAAUAAAAAAAAAAGUAUGAGAAUUUAAAAACGCAAAUAAGAAAUGAAAGGAAAUUUGUGGAAAAAAAAAGAAAAGACAAAAGAUUUGGAAUAAAAAAGAGAAAAAUAAAAAUUUUUAAAACAACGAAAAAAUUAAAAAAAGUAAAAAUGAAAACAUAUGGAAAAAAAAAAAGCAAAAAGAAGGAAAAUUGCAAAGGGAAAAAAUUAUUAAAAAUUUACAAAGUAAAAAAAAAUUAGGGAAUCAAAAAAUAUAAAAGGAAAAAAAUAAAAAUAAACAAAGUAAGAAAAUAAAAAAUUAGGGAAUCAAAAAAUAUAAAAAGACAAAAUGAAUAAAAAUUUCAAAUAUAAAAAGAAAGUGCACAAAAAAAGAAGUUUGAGGUUUUAAAAUUACAAAGAAGAAAUAAAAAAAAGUGUGAACAAAAAGAUUUAAGAAAAAAAUAACAAAUGAAAAUAAAAUAUAUAAAAAAAAUAUUUGAGAAAAAAAAAUGAGAAAAAGAAGAAAAAAUAAAAAAUGAAGAGGCAAAAAUAUGAAAUAAAACAAAAAGAAAAAAAAUACAAAAAAAGGACAAAAAUUGAAUAAAAAUUUCAAAAAUGAAAUGGAAUGACAAAAUGAAAAAAAAAUUAGUUUAAAAAAUAAAAAAAAAAUUGAAAAACAUAUAAGUCCUAACAAUAUAAAAAUUCAGACAAAAAAUUAAAAAGAAAAAAGUUAAUGCAAAAAAAAAAAAGUAUGAGAAUUUAAAAAUGCAAAUAAGAAAUGAAAGGAAAUGUGGAAAAAAAAAGAGAAGCAAGAAAAGACAAAAGAUUUGGAAUAAAAAUAGAAAAAUAAAAAUUUUUAAAACAACGAAAAAAUGAAAGCAUAUGAAAAAAAAAGUAAAAAGAAGGAAAUUGUGAAGGAAAAAAGUUAUUAAAAAAUUACAAAGUUGAAAAAAAAAUAAAUUAAGAGAAAAAAUUAAAUAAAAUACCCAGAAAGGAAAAAUAAAAAUAAACAAAGUAAGAAAAUAAAAAAUUAGCGAAGCAAAAAAUAUAAAAAGACAAAUGAAUAAAAAUUUCAAAUAUAAAAUGGAAAAAACUUUUAGUUUAGAAUGUAGAAAGAAACAAAAAAAAAAAAAAAACAAAUAGAGGAAAAAGAUAUAAAAUAUGAAAGAUGAAAAAUAAAAUAAAAGAAAGUGCACAAAAAAAGAAGUUUGAGGUUUUAAAAUUAUAAAGAAGAAAUAAAAAAAAAAGGUGUGAACAAAAAGAUUUAAGAAAAAAUAAAAAAUGAAAAUGCAAAAUAUAUAAAAUAAAAUUGAGAAAAAGAAGAAAAAAAUAAAAAAUGAAGAGGCAAAAAUAUGAAAAAAAAAUAAAAAGAAAAAAAUUUAUAGAAAAUUUUAAAACAAAGAAAAAAGUGAACAAAAAAAAAAUGAAAGCACAUAAAAAAAAAGUAAAAAAAAGAAGAAAAAUUCGGAAGGAGAAAAAGUUAAUGAAAAAUUAUAAAAAUGCAAUAGAAAAUAACCAAGAAUGAUAAAAGAAAAAAAGAUAAAAAAUAAAAAAUUCUAAAACUUUAUAAAAUUUAUGAAAUUAUAAAUAAAGAAAGAAAUAAAGAAAAAUAAAAAAGAUAAUAAACACAAAAAAACAAAAAUACUACAAAAAAUAUAAAAAGUAAGAAAAUGAAAAAGGACAAAAUGAAUAAAAAUUUCAAAAUGAAAUGGAAUGACAAAAUGAAAAAAUUAGUUUAAAAAAUACAAAAAAUUGAAAAACAUAUAAGUUCUAACAAUAUAAAAAGUUUGAGAAUUUAAAAACACAAAUAAGAAAUGAAAGGAAAUUUAUGGAAAAAAAAAAAGAAUUGGAAUAAAAAAUAGAAAAAUAAAAUUUUUAAAAACGACGAAAAUUAAAAUAGAAAAAAAAUUAAAGCAAAAGAAAAAAGAUAAAUAAAGCAUAAAAAAAAAAAAACAAAAUACAAAAAAAUUAUAAAGGUAAGAAAAUGAAAGAGGACAAAAAAUGAAUAAAAUUUCAAAAAUGAAAUGGAAUGACAAAAUGAAAAUAAAAUUAGUUUAAAAAAUAAAAAAAAAUUGAAAAACAUAUAAGACCUAACAAUAUAAAAAGUCAGACAAAAAAUUAAAAAAGAGAAAAGUUAAUGCAAAAUAAAAAAAAAGUAUGAGAAUUUAAAAGCGCAAAUAAGAAAUGAAAGGAAAUUUGAGGAAAAAAAGAGACAAAAGAUUUGGAAUAAAAAAUAGAAAAAUAGAAAUUUUUAAAACAACAAAAAAAUUAAAACAAGUAAAAAUGAAAGCUUAUGAAAAAAAAAAGCAAAAAGAAGGCAAAUUAUGAAGGGAAAAAGUUAUUAAAAAAUUACAAAGUAGAAAAAAAAGAAAAUAAAAAAUAAAUUAAGAGAAAAAAUUAAAUAAAAUACCAAAAAAGGAAAAAAUAAAAAUAAACAAAGUAAGAAAAUAAAAAAUUAGCGAAUCAAAAAAUAUAAAAAGACAAAAUGAAUAAAAAUUUCAAAUAUAAAAUGAAAAAAACUAUUGGUUCAGAAUGUACAAAGAAAAAUAAAAAAAAUAUAACAAACAGAGGAAAAAGAUAUAAAAUAUGAAAGAUGAAAAAUAAAAUAAAAGAAAGUGCACAAAAAAAGAAGUUUGAGGUUUUAAAACUAUAAAGAAGAAAUAAAAAAAGGUGUGAACAAAAAGAUUUAAGAAAAAAAAAUGAAAAUACAAAAUAUAUAAAAUAAAAUUUGAGAAAAAGAAGAAAAAAAUAAAAAAUGAAGAGGCAAAAAUAUGAAAUAAAAGAAAAAGAAAAAAAUUUAUAGAAAAUUUUAAAACAAAGAAAAAAGUGAACAAAAAAGAAUGAAAGCACAUAAAAAAAAGUAAAAAAAAAGAAGAAAAAUUUGGAAGGAGAAAAAGUUAAUGAAAAAAUAUAAAAAUGCAAUAGAAAAUAACCAAGAAUGAUAAAAGAAAAAAAGAUAAAAAAAUUAAAAAUUCCAAAACUUUAUAAAAAUUUAUGAAAUUAUGAAUAAAGAAAGAAAAUAAAAUAAGAAAAAAAUUAAAAGCAAAAGAAAAAAAUAGAUAAAGCAAAAGAAAAAAGAAAAAAAAAAAAAAACAAAAAAUAUAAAAAGUAAGAAAAUGAAAAAGGACAAAAAUUGAAUAAAAAUUUCAAAAAUGAAAUGGAAUGACAAAAUGAAAAAAAAAUUAUUUUAAAAAUACAAAAAAUUGAAAAUCAUAUAAGACCUAACAAUAUAAAAAGUCAGACAAAAAAUUAAAAAAGAGAAAAGUUAAUGCAAAAUAAAAAAAAAAGUAUGAGAAUUUAAAAACGCAAAUAAGAAAUGAAAGGAAAUUUGUGGAAAAAAAAGAAAAGACAAAAGAUUUGGAAUAAAAAACAGAAAAAUAAAAAUUUUUAAAACAGCGAAAAAAAAACAUAUAAAAAAAAGCAAAAAGAAGGAAAAUUGUGAAGGGAAAAAGUUAUUAAGAAAUUACAAAGUAGAAAAAAAUAAAUUAAGAAAAAAAUUAAAUAAAAUACCAAAAAGGAAAAAAUAAAAAAUUAGCGAAUCAAAAAAAUAUAAAAAGACAAAAUGAAUAAUCAAAUAUAAAAUGGAAAAAACUUUUAGUUUAUAAUUUACAAAGAAAAAGAAAAAAAAAUAACAAAUAGAGGAAAAAGAUAUAAAAUAUGAAAGAUGAAAAAUAAAAUAAAAGAAAGUGCACAAAAAAAUAAGUUUGAGGUUUUAAAGUUAUAAAGAAGAAAAAAAAAAGGUGUGAACAAAAAGAUUUAAGAAAAAAAUAAAAAAUGAAAAUACAAAAUAUAUAAAAUAAAAUUUGAGAAAAAGAAGAAAAAAAUAAAGAAUGAAGAGGCAAAAAUAUGAAAUAAAACAAAAAGAAAAAAAUAGAAAAUUUUAAAACAAAGAAAAAACUGAACGAAAAAGAAUGAAAGCACAUAAAAAAAAGUAAAAAAAGAAGAAAAAUUAUAAAAAUGCAACAGAAAAUAACCAAGAAUGAUAAAAGAAAAAAAGAUAGAAAAAUAAAAAAUUCCAAAACUUUAUAAAAAUUUAUGAAAUUAUGAAUAAAGAAAGAAAAUAAAAUAAGAAAAAAAUUAAAGCAAAAGAAAAAAGAUAGAUAAAGCACGAAAAAAGAAAAAAAAACAAAAAUACAACAAAAAAUUAUAAAAAGUAAGAAAAUGAAAAAGGACAAAAAUUGAAUAAAAAUUUCAAAAAUGAAAUGGAAUGACAAAAUGAAAAAAAAAAUUAGUUUAAAAAAUACAAAAAAUUAAAAAACAUAUAAGACCAAACAAUCUAAAAAGUCUGAUAAAAAAUUAAAAAAGAGAAAAGUUAAUGCAAAAUAAAAAAAAAAAGUAUGAGAAUUUAAAAACGCAAAUAAGAAGUGAAAGGAAAUUUGUGGAAAAAAAAAGAAAAGACAAAAGAUUUGGAAUAAAAAAGAGAAAAAUAAAAAUUUUUAAAACAACGAAAAAAUUAAAAAAAGUAAAAAUGAAAACAUAUGGAAAAAAAAAAAGCAAAAAGAAGGAAAAUUGCAAAGGGAAAAAGUUAUUAAAAAUUUACAAAGUAAAAAAAAAUUAGGGAAUCAAAAAAUAUAAAAGGAAAAAAAUAAAAAUAAACAAAGUAAGAAAAUAAAAAAUUAGGGAAUCAAAAAAUAUAAAAAGACAAAAUGAAUAAAAAUUUCAAAUAUAAAAAGAAAGUGCACAAAAAAAGAAGUUUGAGGUUUUAAAAUUACAAAGAAGAAAUAAAAAAAGGUGUGAACAAAAAGAUUUAAGAAAAAAAUAACAAAUGAAAAUAUAAAAUAUAUAAAAAAAUAUUUGAGAAAAAAAAUGAGAAAAAGAAGAAAAAAAUAAAAAAUGAAGAGGCAAAAAUAUGAAAUAAAACAAAAAGAAAAAAAAUACAAAAAAAGGACAAAAAUUGAAUAAAAAUUUCAAAAAUGAAAUGGAAUGACAAAAUGAAAAAAAAUUAGUUUAAAAAAUAAAAAAAAAUUGAAAAACAUAUAAGUCCUAACAAUAUAAAAAUUCAGACAAAAAAUUAAAAAAGAAAAAAGUUAAUGCAAAAUAAAAAAAAGUAUGAGAAUUUAAAAAUGCAAAUAAGAAAUGAAAGGAAAUUUGUGGAAAAAAAAAGAGAAGCAAAAGACAAAAGAUUUGGAAUAAAAAAUAGAAAAAUAAAAAUUUUAAAACAACGAAAAAAUGAAAGCAUAUGAAAAAAAAGUAAAAAGAAGGAAAUUGUGAAGGGAAAAAGUUAUUAAAAAAUUACAAAGUUGAAAAAAAAUAAAUUAAGAGAAAAAAUUAAAUAAAAUACCCAGAAAGGAAAAAUAAAAAUAAACAAAGUAAGAAAAUAAAAAAUUAGCGAAGCAAAAAAAUAUAAAAAGACAAAUGAAUAAAAAUUUCAAAUAUAAAAUGGAAAAAACUUUUAGUUUAGAAUGUAGAAAGAAAAACAAAAAAAAAAAAACAAAUAGAGGAAAAAGAUAUAAAAUAUGAAAGAUGAAAAAUAAAAUAAAAGAAAGUGCACAAAAAAAGAAGUUUGAGGUUUUAAAAUUAUAAAGAAGAAAUAAAAAAAGGUGUGAACAAAAAGAUUUAAGAAAAAAAUAAAAAAUGAAAAUGCAAAAUAUAUAAAAUAAAAUUUGAGAAAAAGAAGAAAAAAAUAAAAAAUGAAGAGGCAAAAAUAUGAAAAAAAAAAAAAAAGAAAAAAAUUUAUAGAAAAUUUUAAAACAAAGAAAAAAGUGAACAAAAAAAAAUGAAAGCACAUAAAAAAAAAAGUAAAAAAAAGAAGAAAAAUUUGAAAGGAGAAAAAGUUAAUGAAAAAUUAUAAAAAUGCAAUAGAAAAUAACCAAGAAUGAUAAAAGAAAAAAAGAUAGAAAAAUAAAAAAUUCUAAAACUUUAUAAAAAUUUAUGAAAUUAUAAAUAAAGAAAGAAAAUAAAAUAAGAAAAAAAAUUAAAGCAAAAGAAAAAAGAUAGAUAAAGCACGAAAAAAGAAAAAAAAACAAAAAUACAACAAAAAAUUAUAAAAAGUAAGAAAAUGAAAAAGGACAAAAAUUGAAUAAAAAUUUCAAAAAUGAAAUGGAAUGACAAAAUGAAAAAAAUUAGUUUAAAAAAUACAAAAAAUUGAAAAACAUAUAAGUUCUAACAAUAUAAAAAGUUUGAGAAUUUAAAAACACAAAUAAGAAAUGAAAGGAAAUUUAUGGAAAAAAAAAAAGAAUUGGAAUAAAAAAUAGAAAAAUAAAAUUUUUAAAACGACGAAAAAUUAAAAUAAGAAAAAAAAUUAAAGCAAAAGAAAAAAAGAUAAAUAAAGCAUGAAAAAAAAAAAAACAAAAAUACAAAAAAAAAUUAUAAAAGGUAAGAAAAUGAAAGAGGACAAAAAAUGAAUAAAAAUUUCAAAAAUGAAAUGGAAUGACAAAAUGAAAAUAAAAUUAGUUUAAAAAAUAAAAAAAAAAUUGAAAAACAUAUAAGACCUAACAAUAUAAAAAGUCAGACAAAAAAUAAAAAAAGAGAAAAGUUAAUGCAAAAUAAAAAAAAAAGUAUGAGAAUUUAAAAGCGCAAAUAAGAAAUGAAAGGAAAUUUGAGGAAAAAAAGAGACAAAAGAUUUGGAAU